UGGGGAAUAUUGGACAAUGGGCGCAAGCCUGAUCCAGCCACGCCACGUGAGUGAUGACGGCCUUAGGGUUGUAAAGCUCUUUCGGCGGGGACGAUAAUGAAGGUACCCGCACAAGAAGCCCCGGCCAACCUAGUGCCAGCAGCCCCGGCACGACAACAGGUGCUAGGGGUGUGUGGGACGACAUGGCGGAAAGGGCGCGUAGGCGACGUGGUUUGUCGGGGGUGAGAGCCAAUGGCUCAACCAAAGAAC
rnacentral:rRNA from 1 species